rnacentral:rRNA from 1 species
UACGUAGGGUGCGAGCGUUAAUCGGAAUUACUGGGCGUAAAGCGUGCGCAGGCGGUUGUGCAAGUCAGCGGUGAAAUCCCCGGGCUUAACCUGGGAAUGGCCUUUGUGACUGCACGGCUAGAGUGUGUCAGAGGGGGGUAGAAUUCCACGUGUAGCAGUGAAAUGCGUAGAGAUGUGGAGGAAUACCGAUGGCGAAGGCAGCCCCCUGGGAUAACACUGACGCUCAUGCACGAAAGCGUGGGGAGCAAACAGG